GGGCAUUGAGCACAGACUGAAUGACUCAGUGACGCUUGGAUCAGGUCAGAUCAAAUUCUCAAGCAAACAGAUGGCUGGGGAUAUUCAGUAGCAACGGUGAGGAGAGAGAGGAACAAUUCACAUUUGAAGUGACCCUUCCUCAAAACGGUCUGUUCUGAAGGAGCUUUCCCGCAGAAAUCACUGGAUUGAAAGCUUCUGGCAACAAAUGGCCACAAACCGAUCAAAGGUGAAAGUGACGGUGAACCAGACAGAGCAGUCAGUGGCUGCAUAAAGCAGGACGGCGUGGAUAUUACACACGGGACGGAGUACAGGAAAUAAAACUGUUCCCGAUAAACAAUGGGAAUGUGUCUCAGGAUCAGGUCGAGGAUAAUGACCAGGAGAUCCGCCGCUGCCAUGGCCCCCAGGUAUCUAUGUUAGCUGUUUGGAUACAGAAUUGGCUGGCCAACAGAAGACAGCGAGUGGUAGUGGAAGGAAAAUAUUCUGCCUG